rnacentral:rRNA from 1 species
GGCUUAGAGUUUGAUCAUGGCUCAGAGUGAACGCUGGCGGCGUACCUAAUACAUGCAAGUCGAACGAUGAAGCUUCUAGCUUGCUAGAAGUGGAUUAGUGGCGCACGGGUGAGUAAGGUAUAGUUAAUCUGCCCUACACAAGAGGACAACAGUUGGAAACGACUGCUAAUACUCUAUAUUCCUGCUUAACACAAGUUGAGUAGGGAAAGUUUUUCGGUGUAGGAUGAGACUAUAUAGUAUCAGCUAGUUGGUAAGGUAAUGGCUUACCAAGGCUAUGACGCUUAACUGGUCUGAGAGGAUGAUCAGUCACACUGGAACUGAGACACGGUCCAGACUCCUACGGGAGGCAGCAGUAGGGAAUAUUGCGCAAUGGGGGAAACCCUGACGCAGCAACGCCGCGUGGAGGAUGACACUUUUCGGAGCGUAAACUCCUUUUCUUAGGGAAGAAUUCUGACGGUACCUAAGGAAUAAGCACCGGCUAACUCCGUGCCAGCAGCCGCGGUAAUACGGAGGGUGCAAGCGUUACUCGGAAUCACUGGGCGUAAAGGGCGCGUAGGCGGAUUAUCAAGUCUCUUGUGAAAUCUAAUGGCUUAACCAUUAAACUGCUUGGGAAACUGAUAGUCUAGAGUGAGGGAGAGGCAGAUGGAAUUAAGCC